GUUGAGCAAGUUGAAGAUGAA
rnacentral:miRNA from 1 species